rnacentral:rRNA from 1 species
CAACAACAGACUCGGUGAAAUUGUAAUUCCGGUGAAGAUGCCGGAUACCUGCGACAGGACGGAAAGACCCCAUGGAGCUUUACUGUAGCUUGACAUUGGGUCUUGGUACUACAUGUACAGGAUAGGUGGGAGGCUUUGAAACCAGGACGCCAGUUUUGGCGGAGCCAUCCUUGGGAUACCACCCUUGUAGUACUGGGACUCUAACCAUAGGCCAUGAAUCUGGUCUUGGGACACUGUCAGGUGGGCAGUUUGACUGGGGCGGUCGCCUCCCAAAAGGUAACGGAGGCGCUCAAAGGUUCUCUCAGUACGGUCGGAAAUCGUACGUAGAGUGUAAAGGCAAAAGAGAGCUUGAUUGCAAGACAUACAGGUCGAGCAAGGAUGAAAAUCGGACUUAGUGAUCCGGUGGUUCUGCGUGGAAGGGCCAUCGCUCAACGGAUAAAAGCUACCCUGGGGAUAACAGGCUUAUCUCCCCCAAGAGUCCACAUCGACGGGGAUGUUUGGCACCUCGAUGUCGGCUCAUCACAUCCUGGGGCUGUAGUAGGUCCCAAGGGUUGGGCUGUUCGCCCAUUAAAGUGGUACGCGAGCUGGGUUCAGAACGUCGUGAGACAGUUCGGUCCCUAUC